UACGGAGGGUGCAAGCGUUUGUCCGGAUUUAUUGGGUUUAAGGGUGCGUAGGCGGCCCGUUAAGUCAGUGGUGAAAGCCUCCCAGCUCAACUGGAGAACUGCCAUUGAUACUGGACGGGCUUGAGUACAGACGGAGGUUGGCGGAAUUGAUUGUGUAGCGGUGAAAUGCAUAGAUACAAUCAAGAACUCGAUUGCGUAGGCAGCUAACCUAGGCUGUAACUGACGCUGAGGCACGAAAGCGUGGGGAGCGAACAGG
rnacentral:rRNA from 1 species